rnacentral:rRNA from 1 species
AUUGAACGCUGGCGGCAUGCCUUACACAUGCAAGUCGAACGGCAGCACGGGAGCAAUCCUGGUGGCGAGUGGCGAACGGGUGAGUAAUACAUCGGAACGUGCCCAGUCGUGGGGGAUAACGCAGCGAAAGCUGUGCUAAUACCGCAUGAGAUCUAUGGAUGAAAGCGGGGGAUCGCAAGACCUCGCGCGAUUGGAGCGGCCGAUAUCAGAUUAGGUAGUUGGUGGGGUAAAGGCUCACCAAGCCGACGAUCUGUAGCUGGUCUGAGAGGACGACCAGCCACACUGGAACUGAGACACGGUCCAGACUCCUACGGGAGGCAGCAGUGGGGAAUUUUGGACAAUGGGCGCAAGCCUGAUCCAGCAAUGCCGCGUGCAGGAUGAAGGCCUUCGGGUUGUAAACUGCUUUUGUACGGAACGAAAAGGCUCUGGUUAAUACCUGGGGCACAUGACGGUACCGUAAGAAUAAGCACCGGCUAACUACGUGCCAGCCGCCGCGGUAACAC